UACGUAGGGGGCAAGCGUUGUCCGGAAUCAUUGGGCGUAAAGCGCGCGUAGGCGGCCCGGUAAGUCCGUUGUGAAAGUCAAAGGCUCAACCUUUGAACGCCGAUGGAUACUGCCGGGCUAGAGUCCGGAAGAGGCGAGUGGAAUUCCUGGUGUAGCGGUGGAAUGCGCAGAUAUCAGGAGGAACACCGAUGGCGAAGGCAGCUCGCUGGGACGGUACUGACGCUGAGACGCGAAAGCGUGGGGAGCGAACAGG
rnacentral:rRNA from 1 species